rnacentral:rRNA from 1 species
UGCAGUUAAAAAGCUCGUAGUUGGACUUUAGGCAAGGCGGCCUGGUCACCCUCUGGGUGUACUGGGAUCGCUGCGCCUCACCUUCGGGGAGCUAGUCGUGCUUCGGUGCGCUAGGGAACCGAGCCUUACCUUGAGGAAAUUAGAGUGUUUAAAGCAGGCUUAUGCUUGAAUACGUUAGCAUGGAAUAACAUGAUAGGACUUUGGUUCUAUUUUGUUGGUUUGAGGACCAAAGUAAUGAUUAAUAGGGACAGUUGGGGGCAUUAGUAUUCAAUAGUCAGAGGUGAAAUUCUUGGAUUUAUUGAAGACUAACUAAUGCGAAAGCAUUUGCCAAGGAUGUUUUCAUUAAUCAAGAACGAAAGUUAGGGGAUCGAAGACGAUUAGAUACCGUCGUAGUCUUAACCAUAAACUAUGCCGACUAGGGAUCGGUGGAAGUCGAUUUUGACUCCAUCGGCACCUUACGAGAAAUCAAAGUUUUUGGGUUCUGGGGGGAGUAUGGUCGCAAGGCUGAAACUUAAAGGAAUUGACGGAAGGGCACCACCAGGAGUGGAGCCUGCGGCUUAAUUUGACUCAACACGGGAAAACUCACCAGGUCCGGACAUGGGAAGGAUUGACAGAUUGAGAGCUCU